rnacentral:rRNA from 1 species
UACGUAGGGGGCGAGCGUUGUCCGAAGUUACUGGGCGUAAAGCGCGCGUAGGCGGGUCAUUAAGUGGGAAGUGAAAGGCUGGGGCUCAACCCCAUGCAGUGCUUCUCAUACUGAUGGUCUUGAGUGAGGUAGGGAGAAGUGGAAUGGCUGGUGUAGCGGUGAAAUGCGUAGAUAUCGUAAGGGAAGACCAGUGGCGAAGGCGGGUCUCUGGACAGUUCCUGACGCUGAGGCACGAAGGCCAGGGGAGCAAACGGG